rnacentral:rRNA from 1 species
AGCAGCCGCGGUAAUUCCAGCUCCAAUAGCGUAUAUUAAAGUUGUUGCAGUUAAAAAGCUCGUAGUUGAAUUUCGGGGUUAGUAGGUUGGUCAUGCCUCUGGUAUGUACUGGUCUCACUGAUUCCUCCUUCCUGAUGAGCCGUAAUGCCAUUAAUUUGGUGUUGCGGGGAAUUUGGACUGUUACUUUGAAAAAUUAGAGUGUUUAAAGCAAGCUAACGCUUGAAUACAUUAGCAUGGAAUAAUGAAAUAGGACGUUCGAUCCUAUUUUGUUGGUUUCUAGGAUUGACGUAAUGAUUAAUAGGGAUAGGUUGGGGGCAUUAGUAUUCAAUUGUCAGAGGUGAAAUUCUUGGAUUUAUUGAAGACUAACUACUGCGAAAGCAUUUGCCAAGGAUGUUUUCAUUAAUCAAGAACGAAAGUUAGGGGAUCGAAGACGAUCAGAUACCGUCGUAGUCUUAACCAUAAACUAUGCCGACUAGGGAUCGGAUGAUGUUUAAUUUUUAAUGUACUCAUUCGGCGUACC